GAUGAACGCUGGCGGCGUGCCUAAUACAUGCAAGUCGAGCGAACGGACGAGAAGCUUGCUUCUCUGAUGUUAGCGGCGGACGGGUGAGUAACACGUGGAUAACCUACCUAUAAGACUGGGAUAACUUCGGGAAACCGGAGCUAAUACCGGAUAAUAUUUUGAACCGCAUGGUUCAAAAGUGAAAGACGGUCUUGCUGUCACUUAUAGAUGGAUCCGCGCUGCAUUAGCUAGUUGGUAAGGUAACGGCUUACCAAGGCAACGAUGCAUAGCCGACCUGAGAGGGAGAUCGCCCACACGGAAACUGAACCCCGCACCACCCCCCGAGGGAGGGACGCAGUGGGGAUUCUUCGGAAGGGGCGAAAAGCUGGAGGGGGCAGCCCGGCGGGAGUAAUAAAGGUUUAGGAUUGUAAAAAUUCUUUUAUGGGGAAAAAAAAUAUGGGUAAGAAAAUGUGCAAACUUGGACGUUACCUAAUAAAAAACCAACGGCUAACUCGGUC
rnacentral:rRNA from 1 species